GAUGAACGCUGGCGGCGUGCUUAACACAUGCAAGUCGAACGAGCUUUAUCACUACGAUCCCUUCGGGGUGACGGUUUUAAAGCGAGUGGCGGACGGGUGAGUAACGCGUGGAUAACCUGCCAUACACUGGGGGAUAACAGCUGGAAACAGCUGCUAAUACCGCAUAAAACUGUAGAGUCGCAUGACUUUAUAGCCAAGGCUCCGGCGGUGUAUGAUGGAUCCGCGUCUGAUUAGGCAGUUGGCGGGUAACGGCCCACCAAACCGACGAUCAGUAGCCGACCUGAGAGGGUGACCGGCCACAUUGGGACUGAGACACGGCCC
rnacentral:rRNA from 1 species